UUCCGGUUGAUCCUGCCGGACCUGACUGCUAUCGGAUUGAUACUAAGCCAUGCGAGUCUUUGCAGUAAUGCAAGGCAUACGGCUCAGUAACACGUAGUCAACUUACCCUAUGGACGAGGAUAAUCUCGGGAAACUGAGCAUAAUACUCGAUAGAUCGUAAUGCCUGGAAUGGUUUAUGGUUGAAAUGAUUCGUCGCCAUAGGAUGGGACUGCGGCCUAUCAGCUUGUUGGUGAGGUAAUGGCCCACCAAGGCGAUUACAGGUACGGGCUCUGAGAGGAGAAGCCCGGAGAUGGGUACUGAGACAAGGACCCAGGCCCUAUGGGGCGCAGCAGGCGAGAAAACUUUGCAAUGUGCGAAAGCACGACAAGGUUAAUCCGAGUGAUUUCUGCUAAAGAAAUCUUUUGCAAGUCAUAAAACCACUAGUGAAUAAGGGGUGGGCAAGUUCUGGUGUCAGCCGCCGCGGUAAAACCAGCACCUCAAGUGGUCAGGAGGAUUAUUGGGCCUAAAGCAUCCGUAGCCGGCUCUGUAAGUUUUCGGUUAAAUCCAUGUGCUCAACGCAUGGGCUGCCGAAAAUACUGCAUAGCUAGGGAGUGGGAGAGGUAGACGGUACUCGGUAGGAAGGGGUAAAAUCCUUUGAUCUACCGAUGACCACCUGUGGCGAAGGCGGUCUACCAGAACACGUUCGACGGUGAGGGAUGAAAGCUGGGGGAGCAAACCGGAUUAGAUACCCGGGUAGUCCCAGCUGUAAACGAUGCAGACUCGAUGAUGCAUUGGCAUAUAGCCAGUGCAGUGUCGCAGGGAAGCCGUUAAGUCUGCCGCCUGGGAAGUACGUACGCAAGUAUGAAACUUAAAGGAAUUGGCGGGGGAGCACCACAAGGGGUGAAGCCUGCGGUUCAAUUGGAUUCAACGCCGGA
rnacentral:rRNA from 1 species